rnacentral:rRNA from 1 species
GACGAACGCUGGCGGCGUGCUUAACACAUGCAAGUCGAACGGAAAGGGCCUGCAUUUGUGGGGUGCUCGAGUGGCGAAAGGGUGAGUAACACGUGAGUAACCUGCCCUUGACUUUGGGAUAACUUCAGGAAACUGGGGCUAAUACCGGCUAGGAGCUCCUGCUGCAUGGUGGGGGUUGGAAAGUUUCGGCGGUUGGGGAUGGACUCGCGGCUUAUCAGCUUGUUGGUGGGGUAGUGGCUUACCAAGGCUCUGACGGGUAGCCGGCCUGAGAGGGUGACCGGCCACAUUGGGACUGAGAUGCGGCCCAGACUCCUACGGGAGGCAGCGGUGGAGAAUAUUGCACAAUGGGCGGAAGCCUUAUGCAACAACGCCGCGUGGGGGAUGACGGCCUUCGGGUUGUAAACCGCUUUCGCCUGUAACGAAACGUGAGUGACGGUAAUGGGUAAAGAAGCACCGGCUAACUACGUG